rnacentral:rRNA from 1 species
GACGAACGCUGGCGGCGUGCUUAACACAUGCAAGUCGAACGGAAAGGCCCUGCUUUUGUGGGGUGCUCGAGUGGCGAACGGGUGAGUAACACGUGAGUAACCUGCCCUUGACUUUGGGAUAACUUCAGGAAACUGGGGCUAAUACCGGAUAGGAGCUCCUGCUGCAUGGUGGGGGUUGGAAAGUUUCGGCGGUUGGGGAUGGACUCGCGGCUUAUCAGCUUGUUGGUGGGGUAGUGGCUUACCAAGGCUUUGACGGGUAGCCGGCCUGAGAGGGUGACCGGCCACAUUGGGACUGAGAUACGGCCCAGACUCCUACGGGAGGCAGCAGUGGGGAAUAUUGCACAAUGGGCGGAAGCCUGAUGCAGCAACGCCGCGUGCGGGAUGACGGCCUUCGGGUUGUAAACCGCUUUCGCCUGUGACGAAGCGUGAGUGACGGUAAUGGGUAAAGAAGCACCGGCUAACUACGUGCCAGCAGCCGCGGUGAUACGUAGGGUGCGAGCGUUGUCCGGAUUUAUUGGGCGUAAAGGGCUCGUAGGUGGUUGAUCGCGUCGGAAGUGUAAUCUUGGGGCUUAACCCUGAGCGUGCUUUCGAUACGGGUUGACUUGAGGAAGGUAGGGGAGAAUGGAAUUCCUGGUGGAGCGGUGGAAUGCGCAGAUAUCAGGAGGAACACCAGUGGCGAAGGCGGUUCUCUGGGCCUUUCCUGACGCUGAGGAGCGAAAGCGUGGGGAGCGAACAGGCUUAGAUACCCUGGUAGUCCACGCUGUAAACGGUGGGUACUAGGUGUGGGGUCCAUUCCACGGGUUCCGUGCCGUAGCUAACGCUUUAAGUACCCCGCCUGGGGAGUACGGCCGCAAGGCUAAAACUCAAAGGAAUUGACGGGGCCCCGCACAAGCGGCGGAGCAUGCGGAUUAAUUCGAUGCAACGCGUAGAACCUUACCUGGGUUUGACAUGGAUCGGGAGUGCUCAGAGAUGGGUGUGCCUCUUUUGGGGUCGGUUCACAGGUGGUGCAUGCCUGUCGUCAGCUCGUGUCGUGAGAUGUUGGGUUAAGUCCCGCAACGAGCGCAACCCUUGUUCACUGUUGCCAGCACGUUAUGGUGGGGACUCAGUGGAGACCGCCGGGGUCAACUCGGAGGAAGGUGGGGAUGACGUCAAGUCCUCAUGCCCCUUAUGUCCAGGGCUUCACGCAUGCUACAAUGGCUGGUACAGAGAGUGGCGAGCCUGUGAGGGUGAGCGAAUCUCGGAAAGCCGGUCUCAGUUCGGAUUGAGGUCUGCAACUCGACCUCAUGAAGUCGGAGUCGCUAGUAAUCGCAGAUCAGCAACGCUGCGGUGAAUACGUUCCCGGG